rnacentral:tmRNA from 1 species
GGGGCUGAUUCUGGAUUCGACGGGAUUUGCGAAACCCAAGGUGCAUGCCGAGGGGCGGUUGGCCUCGUAAAAAGCCGCAAAAAUUAGUCGCAAACGACGAAAACUACGCUUUAGCAGCUUAAUAACCUGCUUAGAGCCCUCUCUCCCUAGCCUCCGCUCUUAGGACGGGGAUCAAGAGAGGUCAAACCCAAAAGAGAUCGCGUGGAGGCCCUGCCUGGGGUUGAAGCGUUAAAACUUAAUCAGGCUAGUUUGUUAGUGGCGUGUCCGUCCGCAGCUGGCAAGCGAAUGUAAAGACUGACUAAGCAUGUAGUACCGAGGACGUAGGAAUUUCGGACGCGGGUUCAACUCCCGCCAGCUCCACCA